rnacentral:lncRNA from 1 species
AACAAGGAAGAAAAGCUGCAAGAUGAGUUAGAUUAGUGUGAUCAAUUCGAAUGUGCUUGAAGUUUUGUCCUACGAAGCAAAGGGAAGCGAAGGAGUGUGGGAUGAACAAGUGAAGUUUCCAAGCCGUAGUUGUGAAGAUUGUUGCAUCGUGAAGAGACCGUAAAGAAAUCUCGGCUGUCUGCAUCUGAUAUGCGUGUUUGUUAAAAGGGGGAACACCGGAACAAAGUUUGGAGCCCAGUUUUUUUAUAUUUUUUUGAGCGAAAGAGUUUGGAGCCCAGGUGGCCUCCAUCUCGAACUCUUGCUUUAGUAAAGGAGAAAAACAGGGCCGAAAAGUAGCCCGGGCCUAUUUUUUGGGGUCGGCCUAGUGACCCAGUGCGUAUUCCCGACCCAUUCGUAUCUCUAAUGGGCCCUCGUUUCUAUCAGGCUUCCCCUGCCCGCGUUAAAGCAAGAGAGAAGUCCAUAUUCCCUCAAACGUCUUGCGGGACGCAUAACCCCAUAAGUCUAAAAUCGUUUAUUUUACAUCCUGAAAUCUCUAAGACCUGAAAUCAUUAGAGCUGACCUGUCACAUUUGAAGCG